rnacentral:rRNA from 1 species
GACGUAGGGCGCGAGCGUUGUCCGGAUUUAUUGGGCGUAAAGAGCUCGUAGGCGGCUUGUCGCGUCGUCCGUGAAAACCUGGGGCUCAACUCCAGGCCUGCAGUCGAUACGAGCAGACUAGAGUGUUGCAGGGGAGACUGGAAUUCCUGGUGUAGCGGUGAAAUGCGCAGAUAUCAGGAGGAACACCGGUGGCGAAGGCGGGUCUCUGGGCCGAUACUGACGCUGAGGAGCGAAAGCGUGGGGAGCGAACAGG